ensembl:lncRNA
GUCUUUUCCUAUUUUUAGGCUGAGACGCUUACCUCAUUUUCUCUUUUAGGGAAAUUGAUGGUUUUCAUAGGUGGUUUCUUACCACCUAGCAACUUCUUUGACUCCUGAGACAAGCACACUGGAUACAAAAGGAAGGCCCCAGAAGAGUUCUUUUGGAGCAGAACAUGAUGCCAAUACUAUGCUUGUUUUCCCCCUUCGUUCUUUUAUUAACUUCUCAAAUUACGGAACAGUAGACCUGCUAAAAUUGCUACUUUUAUGUUUUGUAGCUUUGGCUUAUCAAAUGCUUCUUUCUGUUACAGUCCUUGAUACAUUGUUGAGGUUUCAUUUGGGCUUCUUUGCUCCUACCAGAAACCUUCCAAACAACUUCGCAUCACAGAUAUGUUUCAAGAGACUAGAUACAGAAAGUAAACUUAGGAUAAUUCUUUUUGGGACUUGAGCCAAAACCAAAGGAAAGGCCUUGACCGCAAUACAUCCUUUUCCUUUAAAUUUUUUCACAUGGAUGUGUCUUAUUGUUGUAAGUCUAAGUCACUGCUUUUCCUUGGAUAUAUUUAAAAACUGGCUGAUUCUCCCAUAUUCUUUGUAGGACCAGCUCGUCCUUCCUCACCAGAAGGUUGGAAUGGGGGAGGGCAUAUCUGUAAGUCAAGACACAGCAUUUCACACACUGGCUCAGCAUGGCAGCUGUUGGGGGUAGCUAUUGAAGUAUCUUCAAACUUUGUCAGAAUUGCCAGAGGGGAAAGACUCCCAGCCCUCUCCCUGCCCUUUCUAGUUGGCUGCUUAGAAAGAUGUUACUUAGAACUAAUUUUCAUUUUACAGAGAAUUCUCAUCCCACAAGGCUGAUAAAGAGGCAUGGAACACAGUCAAGGGAGAGAUAGCCUUCCACUGAAAACCAGCUGUAUUGGUGCUCUGUUCCUGUUGCCGGUGUUUGGAUGACAGAUGUUAACGACAAUUUCCUUCCUCCAUCAUCAUCAUCAUCAUCAUCCAGGAUGACUCCCUAUGAAAUCAAAAUGGAUCCGCAGAGGGUACUUGGAAUUUGUGGUGGAGGAAACUGUCCACUCAGCCCAUUGAUAUGAGAAGAAAUCUUUCCUUGUUGGCAAGGUGUGCAAGAACGGAAAGUGUGAGAAAGAAAGCCCCAGUGUAGUGGUUUGAAUGUAAUUGGCUGCCCUGGGCCCAUGAGGAGAGGCACCAUUAGGAGGUAUGGCCUUGUUGGAGUGGGUGUGGCCUUAUUGGUGUGGGUGUGGCCUUGAAGUGGGUGUGGCCUUGUUGGAAUAGAUGUGGCUUUGGAGGAAGAGUGUCAUGGUGGAGGCAGGCCUUGAGUUCUUAUAUAUGCUUAUGCCACACCCAGUGGGACAGUCUCCUGCUGCUGCCUGUGGAUCAAGACGUAGAACUCUCUCAGAUCCUCUAGCACCAUGUCUGCCUGCACUGCCAUGCUUGAUAAUGGACUAAACCUCUGAACUAUAAGCCAGAGCCAAUUAAAUGUCUUCAUUAUAAGAGUUGCUUUGGUCAUGGUGUCUCUUCACAGCAAUGGGGACCCCAACUAAGACACCCAACAAGGAUGGAAAGUCAUCGGCACCCCUCGGGUCACUGGGGGGGUAAAAGAGAUGGCAGUUUCCUCUUAUCUAAUAGUAGCUGUAGCAGUGUCAAAGAUGGCAGGACUGAGCUCAUCAGUUUUACUUCAGAUGUGAGGGGGUAGGCUUCAUAUUGGCGCCCUCAGGCGUUAUUCUAGUUGAUUCAACUUCCCACAUGUUUUUGCCGAUUUCAUAUCUCUUGUCUUUCUUCCCUAAAAGGAAGACGUAAAUUGUCCUCAUACCGGUCUCCAUCGUGUAGUAAAUGACAUUGUUGCCAUUCAUGUUCUCAAGCUUGGGGGUCCUUUCAUUUUCUUCAUAUACACUCCUGGGCCCUACCCCACCUGCAAACAGCUAAUUGAGCCAUUGGUUAUUCGACCUCCAUAAUAAAUUCCAUAUGUGUCCUUGGGAGUUUCUCUGACUGGACCUUG